GAUCAAUUUGAUAAGUGGACUGUGGAAAUAGCACCGAAGUUCCAUGAAGAUGCCCGGGGGAGUCUCUUCCUUUGGCUCCCUAUCUCCUCCGUAUUCAACAUCGCCGUUUCAGCAGAAGUAACAAAAACAACACCAUGUCGAAGAGGAGGACUAGGGAGCCAAAGGAAGAGACUGUUACUCUUGGUCCUUCUGUGAGAGAGGGAGAGCUUGUUUUUGGUGUCGCUCACAUUUUUGCAUCAUUCAAUGACACUUUCAUUCACGUGACUGAUUUGUCUGGACGGGAAACAAUGGUUCGUAUUACUGGUGGAAUGAAGGUCAAAGCUGAUAGGGAUGAAUCUUCCCCAUAUGCUGCUAUGCUUGCCGCACAAGAUGUUUCUCAGAGAUGCAAG
rnacentral:misc_RNA from 1 species